AUGAACGCUAGCUACAGGCUUAACACAUGCAAGUCGAGGGGCAGCAUGAUUGAAGCUUGCUUCAAUCGAUGGCGACCGGCGCACGGGUGAGUAACACGUAUCCAACCUGCCGAUAACUCGGGGAUAGCCUUUCGAAAGAAAGAUUAAUACCCGAUAGCAUAGUAUUUCCGCAUGGUUUCACUAUUAAAGAACUUCGGUUAUCGAUGGGGAUGCGUUCCAUUAGAUAGUUGGCGGGGUAACGGCCCACCAAGUCAACGAUGGAUAGGGGUUCUGAGAGGAAGGUCCCCCACAUUGGAACUGAGACACGGUCCAAACUCCUACGGGAGGCAGCAGUGAGGAAUAUUGGUCAAUGGACGAGAGUCUGAACCAGCCAAGUAGCGUGAAGGAUGACUGCCCUAUGGGUUGUAAACUUCUUUUAUACGGGAAUAAAGUGGAGUAUGCAUACUCCUUUGUAUGUACCGUAUGAAUAAGGAUCGGCUAACUCCGUGCCAGCAGCCGCGGUAAUACGGAGGAUCCGAGCGUUAUCCGGAUUUAUUGGGUUUAAAGGGAGCGUAGGCGGGUGCUUAAGUCAGUUGUGAAAGUUUGCGGCUCAACCGUAAAAUUGCAGUUGAUACUGGGUACCUUGAGUGCAGCAUAGGUAGGCGGAAUUCGUGGUGUAGCGGUGAAAUGCUUAGAUAUCACGAAGAACUCCUAUUGCGAAGGCAGCUUACUGGACUGUAACUGACGCUGAUGCUCGAAAGUGUGGGUAUCAAACAGGAUUAGAUACCCUGGUAGUCCACACAGUAAACGAUGAAUACUCGCUGUUGGCGAUACACAGUCAGCGGCCAAGCGAAAGCAUUAAGUAUUCCACCUGGGGAGUACGCCGGCAACGGUGAAACUCAAAGGAAUUGACGGGGGCCCGCACAAGCGGAGGAACAUGUGGUUUAAUUCGAUGAUACGCGAGGAACCUUACCCGGGCUUAAAUUGCAGCGGAAUGUAGUGGAAACAUUACAGCCUUCGGGCCGCUGUGAAGGUGCUGCAUGGUUGUCGUCAGCUCGUGCCGUGAGGUGUCGGCUUAAGUGCCAUAACGAGCGCAACCCUUAUCUAUAGUUACUAUCAGGUCAUGCUGAGGACUCUAUGGAGACUGCCGUCGUAAGAUGUGAGGAAGGUGGGGAUGACGUCAAAUCAGCACGGCCCUUACGUCCGGGGCUACACACGUGUUACAAUGGGGGGUACAGAAGGCAGCUACCUGGCGACAGGAUGCUAAUCCCAAAAACCUCUCUCAGUUCGGAUUGGAGUCUGCAACCCGACUCCAUGAAGCUGGAUUCGCUAGUAAUCGCGCAUCAGCCACGGCGCGGUGAAUACGUUCCCGGGCCUUGUACACACCGCCCGUCACACCAUGAGAGUUGGAAAUACCCGAAGCCUGUGAGCUAACCUAUGAGGCAGCAGUCGAAGGUAGAGCCAAUGAUUGGGGUG
rnacentral:rRNA from 1 species